rnacentral:rRNA from 1 species
AACGAACGCUGGCGGCAGGCCUAACACAUGCAAGUCGAGCGAACCCUUCGGGGUUAGCGGCGGACGGGUUAGUAACGCGUGGGAAUAUACCCUUUGGUACGGAAUAGCCUCGGGAAACUGAGAGUAAUACCGUAUGUGCCCUUCGGGGAAGAUUUAUCGCCAAAGGAUUAGCCCGCGUUGGAUUAGAUAGUUGGUGGGGUAAUGGCCUACCAAGUCUACGAUCCAUAGCUGGUUUGAGAGGAUGAUCAGCAACACUGGGACUGAGACACGGCCCAGACUCCUACGGGAGGCAGCGGUGGGGAAUCUUAGACAAUGGGCGCAAGCCUGAUCUAGCCAUGCCGCGUGGACGAUGAAGGCCUUAGGGUUGUAAAGUCCUUUCAGAUGGGAAGAUAAUGACGGUACCAUCAGAAGAAGCCCCGGCUAACUCCGUG